rnacentral:sRNA from 1 species
AGAGCCAGGGCAGGAUGGAGAGGAGACGCAUCACCUCCGCUGCUCGCCGUUCCUACAUCUCCUCGGGGGAGAUGAUGGUGGGGGGCCUGGCUCCUGGCCGCCGUCUGGGUCCUGGCACCCGCCUCUCCCUGGCUCGAAUGCCCCCUCCACUCCCGACCCGGGUGGACUUCUCCCUGGCCGGGGCACUCAAUGCUGGCUUCAAGGAGACCCGGGCCAGUGAGCGGGCAGAGAUGAUGGAGCUCAAUGACCGCUUUGCCAGCUACAUCGAGAAGGUUCGCUUCCUGGAACAGCAAAACAAGGCGCUGGCUGCUGAGCUGAACCAGCUGCGGGCCAAGGAGCCCACCAAGCUGGCUGACGUCUACCAGGCUGAGCUGCGAGAGUUGCGGCUGCGGCUCGAUCAACUCACCGCCAACAGCGCCCGGCUGGAGGUCGAGAGGGACAAUCUGGCACAGGACCUGGGCACCGUGAGGCAGAAGCUCCAGGAUGAAACCAACCUGAGGCUGGAGGCCGAGAACAACCUGGCUGCCUACAGACAGGAAGCAGAUGAAGCCACCCUGGCCCGCCUGGAUCUGGAGAGGAAGACUGAGUCGCUGGAAGAGGAGAUCCGGUUCUUGAGGAAGAUCCACGAGGAGGAGGUUCGGGAACUCCAGGAGCAGCUGGCCCGACAGCAGGUCCAUGUGGAGCUUGACAUGGCCAAGCCAGACCUCACCGCAGCCCUGAAAGAGAUCCGCACGCAGUAUGAGGCAAUGGCGUCCAGCAACAUGCAUGAGGCGGAGGAGUGGUACCGCUCCAAGUUUGCAGACCUGACAGACGCUGCUGCCCGCAACGCGGAGCUGCUCCGCCAGGCCAAGCACGAGGCCAACGACUACCGGCGCCAGUUGCAGUCCUUGACCUGCGACCUGGAGUCUCUGCGCGGCACGAACGAGUCCCUGGAGAGGCAGAUGCGCGAGCAGGAGGAGCGCCACGCGCGGGAGGCGGCCAGUUAUCAGGAGGCGCUGGCGCGGCUGGAGGAAGAGGGUCAGAGCCUCAAGGACGAGAUGGCCCGCCACUUACAGGAGUACCAGGACCUGCUCAACGUCAAGCUGGCCCUGGACAUCGAGAUCGCCACCUACAGGAAGCUGCUGGAGGGCGAGGAGAACCGGAUCACCAUUCCCGUGCAGACCUUCUCCAACCUGCAGAUUCGAGGUCAGUAUAGCAGGGCCUCGUGGGAAGGGCACUGGAGUCCUGCCCCCUCCUCCAGGGCCUGUAGGUUGCUCCGGACUGGGACUGAGGAUCAGGGCAAAGGGAUCCAGCUCUCCCUCUCCCUGGGGGCCUUCGUGACACCGCAGCGCUCCUAGCCAGAGCCUAUCAUACCAGGGUACUUCUAGGCGGGGCUUGCAGCUGCUCCUGUCCUGCUAGGCCCUGGGUCCCUCUUCCCCUCCCUGCACCCCAUUCCACAGCAGAACUGAGUGAGAUCUUGACAUCUGCCCUGUCUGCAGAUCCCUGAGCAAGCACUGCCCUUCUGAGUGUUUUCUGUUUUUGUUUUUUUAACUGCUUGUCACUACAGGGGGCAAAAGCACCAAAGACGGGGAAAAUCACAAGGUCACAAGACAUCUCAAAAGCCUCACAAUACGAGUUAUACCAAUACAGGCUCACCAGAUUGUAAAUGGAGCGCCGCCGGCUUGCGGUUAGCUGCCUGCCUCUCAGACACGGCGCUUUGCCCAGCUUGACAGGGAGUGAGCCUCACCCACCCCAUCCUCCCAAUCCUCCUGAGCUCCCUCCUCCCAGGCUUCCCCUAAAGGGCCUGGACUGCGUCAUUUUCCCAGGAACUGCAGUGCCCAGCCCAGGACGUGGUACAGAGUAACUGUACAUUAAACUGGCAGAGCUCGUUAGUGGUAAAGGUGGUGAGUCCUUGGAUGUGCAGCAGAGCUGCUCUGGGGCCUCUGAGCAAGCAGCAGCCUCUGUCUCACCUCUUCCCGUCACUGGGAGGGCCCCUUGGGUCUCGCUGUGCCUGGGGGCCAGGCUCUCUGCUUUAUUCUUUCAUCCCUGAGGCUCCAUCGCUCAGCUCAGUGCUGACUCAGUCCAGAGGAUUCUUCCCUCAGGACUGCUGCUCUUGCAGUGAAUAAAGUUUUAUGUUCCCUGCUCUUAAUAUUAAAUAUUAGUGAAUGUGACGUGUUAUAUUUUUCUCUCUGGGGAGGAAGAGCUAAAUUACUUUUUACUUGCAUUGGCCCUCAAAUGAUUCUUAGCUAAGGAACAAAAUUCCUCUUCUUCUGGGCUAGAAUAUUUAGGACCACUAGAUAUGCAUGUCUCAGGACUUAAUUCAGCAUCAGAAAGGCUAACCAGGCUGACUAGUAGAGGUAAUACUGCCAAAUCCUAGAUAGUCACAGGUCACUAAAGCACAGAUAAAUGGCAGAGAGAAGUAGGAAAGAGGAAAGGGGACAGGAAAGGGACCUAUGUGUAUUGAGCACUAAUAUGUGCCACAUGUUUAACAGCCUUUAUUUUAGUUAAUUGUCUCCUGUCUCCCACCUGGAGAAGUAGGCCCCAUCAUCCUUAUCUUACAGAUGAGGCAACUGAGACUGGGAGAGGUCAAUUAACUUGCCCAGAGUCGUGUGGCUGGUUGGUGGCUAAGUUGGGACUUCUUGAGCUCUGGUCCCCUGAUCCAUCCAUCCUUCCUUCCUUCCUUCCUUCCUUUGGCAGAGCGUCCCUCUGUCACUCAGGCUGGAAUGCAGUGGUGCAAUCUCGGCUCACUGCAACCUCCACCUCCCAGGUUCAAGCAAUUCUCGUUCCUCAGACUCCCGAGUAGCGGGGAUUACAGGUGCGAGCCACCACACCUGGCUAAUUUUUCUUUCUUUUUUCUUUCUUUUUUUUUUUUUUUUACUCUGUUGCUCAGGCUGGAGUGCAGUGGCGCGAACUCAGCUUACUGCAACCUCUGCCUCCCAGGUUCAAGUGAUUCCCCUGUCUCAGCCUCCUGAAUAGGUGGGACAACAGGCACCCGUCACCAUGCCCAGCUAAUUUUUGUAUUUUUAGUAGAGACAGGUUUUCACCAUAUUGGUCAGGCUGGUCUUGAACUCCUGACCUGAGGCAAUCCAUCUGCCUCAGCCUCCCAAAGUGCUGGGAUUACAGGUGUGAGCCACCAUGCCCGGCCUAUUUUUUGUAUUUUUAGUAGAGGUUUCACCAUGUUGGCCAGGCUGGUCUCGAACUCCUGCCUCAGGUGAUCCACCCACCUCAGCCUCCCAAAAUGAUGGCAUUAUAGGCGUGAGCCACCACGCCCCGCCUGGUCUUCUGAUUUCAAAGCCUGCAUGUCCUUCCUCAAUGCCGUGCUGGGUUUUCAGAAAGCCAAGUGCCAGGCCAGGGCUUGCAGAGGGGCUGAAAUGAAGCCAGUCCAGAAGACAGAGCAGCCAGGACUCUCACUGAACAGAGCAGCCAGGACCUGGGCAGCAGCACUAUUGGGAUUUGAGGACUCUCCAGCCCGUUUGGAAGAGCCUAGGCUCUCUCUGCCCGGUUGCAUAGGUUCUCGUACUCAUGAUUGGGGGGUGCA